ACUCAAAACUCAAAGGACUUGACGGUGUCCCAAACCAACCUAGAGGAGCCUGUCCUAUAAUCGAUAAUCCACGCUACACCUCACCCCCUCUCGAAACCAGUCUGUAAACCGCCGUCUUUCAGUUCGCCUUAUGACAGACCCAUAGCGAACACAACAGCCCAUCACUCAAACGUCAGGUCAAGGUGCAACUAAUGAUGGGGCAGCGAUGGGCUACAUUUUCUAUAACAGAACACCACCACCCACCACAUGAAACAUGGGCCAUAAGGCGGAUUUAGCAGUAAGCCAAACA
rnacentral:rRNA from 1 species